CGCAAGAUAUACAUACAACGACGACAACUAAAAUACUACGCCGUUAAAUAUAAUUUACCCGACAAGAAAAAAUAUGACGUCUUUAAAUACAUGAGAAGACGACGUUAUUGAAAUCUACUACGUCUCUUAUUUACAAAAAACCGUCGUGAAAUAAAUUUUCCACUUCGAUUUUUCUAAAAAAAAUGACGUGGAAAUAGUUGUC
rnacentral:lncRNA from 1 species